rnacentral:rRNA from 1 species
UACGUAGGGUGCGAGCGCUGUCCGGAAUUAUUGGGCGUAAAGGGCGCGUAGGCGGAUAGUUCAGUUGGGGGUGAAAGCCCGGGGCUCAACCUCGGAACUGCCUUCAAUACUGGCUAUCUUGAGUACGGGAGAGGUGUGUGGAACUCCGAGUGUAGAGGUGAAAUUCGUAGAUAUUCGGAAGAACACCAGUGGCGAAGGCGACACACUGGCCCGUUACUGACGCUGAGGCGCGAAAGCGUGGGGAGCAAACAGG